rnacentral:ncRNA from 1 species
CUGGCUGAGUUAGUGAUCGGCUAGAGAUUCAUAUUAUUUAUUUGGAGAUAUACAUGUCACUAAGUCCUGAAGCAAAAGCAAAAAUUUUGGCUGAUUUUGGCCGUUGUGA